rnacentral:rRNA from 1 species
GAUGAACGCUGGCGGCGUGCCUAAUACAUGCAAGUCGAGCGAACGGACGAGAAGCUUGCUUCUCUGAUGUUAGCGGCGGACGGGUGAGUAACACGUGGAUAACCUACCUAUAAGACUGGGAUAACUUCGGGAAACCGGAGCUAAUACCGGAUAAUAUUUUGAACCGCAUGGUUCAAAAGUGAAAGACGGUCUUGCUGUCACUUAUAGAUGGAUCCGCGCUGCAUUAGCUAGUUGGUAAGGUAACGGCUUACCAAGGCAACGAUGCAUAGCCGACCUGAGAGGGUGAUCGGCCACACUGGAACUGAGACACGGUCCAGACUCCUACGGGAGGCAGCAGUAGGGAAUCUUCCGCAAUGGGCGAAAGCCUGACGGAGCAACGCCGCGUGAGUGAUGAAGGUCUUCGGAUCGUAAAACUCUGUUAUUAGGGAAGAACAUAUGUGUAAGUAACUGUGCACAUCUUGACGGUACCUAAUCAGAAAGCCACGGCUAACUACGUGCCAGCAGCCGCGGUAAUACGUAGGUGGCAAGCGUUAUCCGGAAUUAUUGGGCGUAAAGCGCGCGUAGGCGGUUUUUUAAGUCUGAUGUGAAAGCCCACGGCUCAACCGUGGAGGGUCAUUGGAAACUGGAAAACUUGAGUGCAGAAGAGGAAAGUGGAAUUCCAUGUGUAGCGGUGAAAUGCGCAGAGAUAUGGAGGAACACCAGUGGCGUAGGCGACUUUCUGGUCUGUAACUGACGCUGAUGUGCGAAAGCGUGGGGAUCAAACAGGAUUAGAUACCCUGGUAGUCCACGCCGUAAACGAUGAGUGCUAAGUGUUAGGGGGUUUCCGCCCCUUAGUGCUGCAGCUAACGCAUUAAGCACUCCGCCUGGGGAGUACGACCGCAAGGUUGAAACUCAAAGGAAUUGACGGGGACCCGCACAAGCGGUGGAGCAUGUGGUUUAAUUCGAAGCAACGCGAAGAACCUUACCAAAUCUUGACAUCCUUUGACAACUCUAGAGAUAGAGCCUUCCCCUUCGGGGGACAAAGUGACAGGUGGUGCAUGGUUGUCGUCAGCUCGUGUCGUGAGAUGUUGGGUUAAGUCCCGCAACGAGCGCAACCCUUAAGCUUAGUUGCCAUCAUUAAGUUGGGCACUCUAAGUUGACUGCCGGUGACAAACCGGAGGAAGGUGGGGAUGACGUCAAAUCAUCAUGCCCCUUAUGAUUUGGGCUACACACGUGCUACAAUGGACAAUACAAAGGGCAGCGAAACCGCGAGGUCAAGCAAAUCCCAUAAAGUUGUUCUCAGUUCGGAUUGUAGUCUGCAACUCGACUACAUGAAGCUGGAAUCGCUAGUAAUCGUAGAUCAGCAUGCUACGGUGAAUACGUUCCCGGGUCU